AAGAACCUGCCCUUGGGAGGGGAACAACAGCUGGAAACGGCUGCUAAUACCCCAUAGGCUGAGGAGCAAAAGGAGGAAUCCGCCCAAGGAGGGGCUCGCGUCUGAUUAGUUAGUUGGUGAGGCAAUGGCUUACCAAGGCGACGAUCAGUGGCUGGUCCGAGAGGAUGAUCAGCCACACUGGGACUGAGACACGGCCCAUACUCCUACGGGAGGCAGCAGUGGGGAAUUUUCCGCAAUGGGCGAAAGCCUGACGGACCAAUGCCGCGUGAAGGCGAAGGCCCACGGGUCAUGAACUUCUUUUCUCGGAGAAGAAAAAAUGACGGUAUCUGA
rnacentral:rRNA from 1 species